UGGAAGGAAAGCUAACAGUGGGAAGAAGAGGGGAGGUCCAGGUUUCCAGAGGUUCUUAUGCAACAUGAGGGGAGUGUAUAAAAGGUCAAAAGUGGGAGAGAACACUGGAGGAUCUCUGUGAACAGUUCACCUCUGUUUGAGAACAGACACAAUGUUGCGCUACCUUGUGGCCCUCAGCCUCCUGGCAGUGUCCUGGGCUCAGGACUGCCAGGUGGCCAACAUACCGGUCAUGCAGAACUUUAACAAAUCAAGGUACGCAGGUCAGUGGUACGCUGUCGGUAAAAAAGACCCCGAUGGUUUGUUCCUGCUCGACAACAUCGUGGCAAACUUUAAUGUUGACGAAGACGGAAUAACAACUGCUACUGCCAGAGGCAGAGUGUAUAUCUUUAAGUACUGGGAAGUGUGUGCUGAUAUGAGGGCCACCUUUGAAGAUACCAGUGAUCCUGCCAAGUUUAAGAUGAAGUACUGGGGAGUUUCAGCUCUACUGCAGACUGGAUAUGACGACCACUGGGUGAUUGACACCGACUACGACAACUACGCCGUCCAUUACUCAUGCAGAAAGGUGCACGAGGUGAACGGCACAUGCGCGGACAGCUACUCGUUCAUUUUCUCACGUCACGAAAGUGGUCUGAGGCUAGAAGACCAACAAAUUGUCUCCGCCAAGAAGCACGACAUCUGCCUGGCCGGCAAAUACAGACGCGUGACGCACACACCUGGACAGUGCGAGAACCUCACACCUAUCGACUCAAUCCCAGUUCCUGGCCCAGAGGAUGAGGCACACCAAAACAUCUGAUUGGACCUGCGACUGGAUUCCAAAUCUAUUUACAUCGAUCACAGAAACACCAGAAGAACUCUACUAUUAUUAUCAAUAAAAAUAAAUAAAACAUAAGUUGGAGGGGCGGGGGUGGUUUAAGGUAAAGGUCCAUUUCUUUUUCAAUAUUUGUUGAGUUCUAGCUGUUGGUCAGGGCUUCGGUCCUGGGGGAAGAAGAGUAGGACUGAAAGUGGAGUUGUCACCUCUGGGACAUUGGGCCUCAGUGUUCGUUACUGGUUCCCUUCUUGUUCUCCUCUUCCCUCUCUAAGGUAGUCACCCAUUUCCAAAUAAUGAACUCAAAAUGUGUAGAAGCAGUCAUAUUUAAAUGGUGCUGGUCCUUGUUAAAUCUGAACAUCUCUAAAGAAUACUGUAAAAUCUUUAAAGUCGUGUGAGGAUUAGGAACACCCAAUGGUUAGUGAUACAUAAUACUGCCAUGUUGGUAGUAAUGCCACAUAGUCUACUUCUCAUUGAUUGAAAAAAAAAAAGUCUGCUUUGUUUGACUUAAACAUUGAAUAUCUGGUAUGAAUAUAUCUAAAUAACCCUGUAUACAGACACAGUUAUACACAUGUAAGUCUUGUGAUCAUUUGGUUGUAUAUUGAUUAUUUCAUGUUUGCCUAUUGACCCAGUUUUUAAAAUAAAAUACUUAUAUAUAUAUAUAUAUAUA